GAAUCCAUAUCAUAAGGUGUGACAUAAUUUUUACGUUAGUUAACACCUACCGCAACCAUUUUCCUUUAUCCGGACUUGAAACCGACUAAACACAAAUUAUUUAGACAGAGUUAUAUUUUUAACUAUUACAUUCUUAAUUAUAUUAUAUAUUUUUUCAUUAAUUUUUUUAUCAAUUUAAUUUAUAAAUUUUGAGCUGGGAAGUUUAGAAUAGGC
rnacentral:misc_RNA from 1 species